rnacentral:lncRNA from 1 species
GGCAAUCCUUGUGCCCAAAUACCUUGCUUUAAUGGAGCAACAUGUAAGAAUAUUAACAGGAAAGAAUUCAAAUGUAGUUGUCCAAAAGGGUUCAGUGGACCCACCUGCAGAAAUGUCGGUAAGUAUGACGUAGUCAGAUAUAUCCAAAGUAUGGGGUAACACUGCAGACACUCGGAUAUUAUAUAUACUCCUUCAAAUCCGACUAUAUGAGGGCUUGACUAAAUUUCCAGUCCGCGCAAUUUGAUCACGUCCGAGGCGAAGGCGAGAAGUGGAUAAAAAGGCGAAUUGAAGUCUGGAUUGGAGGAUUUCAAAUGACAUCUUACACGAAUAAAAUACUAAUAGUCCAAGGACUGAAUUCAUCUUGAUCCAAACGUGGGACUGGAUCAAUAUAAUUCACUAGGUAUCUAGUAUUAUCAUGUAAAAAUGUAUUCAUGAAUUAUUCAUGAGUUUGAGAUAAUUUAUACAGUAUGCAUGUUAUAGAAUAAGAAAUACAGGACUCGCACAUGUCAUUUAGUAAUUAUGGGGGAGGGGAUACUUCCAGUCUUCUACCAAAAUUUUUAGGUAACCCCAAAGCAUAUAGAAAGAUCUUGAAAAAAAGCACCGCGCGAGCAGAAAACUAUGCGCACCACGGCUGGAAAUUAUGAAAUAUCCCAAACGAGAACAUUUCCUCCUUAUAAUAUUACUGAGAGAACAAUACCACAACAUAACAUAACACUUGCAGAACUAGUAUCGUUCGAUUCUGAAUUCAGGUUAACGAAUAUGUUUAUAACAUUCAGUAUUUAAGUUCUUUGAAUGUUUGCAUGGCGAUAAAAUAUAAUUGUUUUUGUUUGUGGAAACACCAUGUAAAUUUAUUACUGCAAAGCUUUCGAUCCGUAGCCCGGAUCUUCAUCAGUGCUAAUAAUAUGUGACUUGUUUAAUUCACACGCUCCUUUUAUAUACAAGAAUUAAAUUUCAAAUGACGCGAGCCAACAGAUCACGACACUCUUGUAUAUAAAAGGAGCGUGUGAAUUAAACAAGUCACAUAUUAUUAGCACUGAUGAAGAUCCGGGCUUACGGAUCGAAAGCUUUGCAGUAAUAAAUUUACAUGGUGUUUCCACAAACAAAAACAAUUAUUCAGUAUUUAGUUCUUAUUUUGGUUCACGAAAUGCCGAAAAGUGCUCGACAUCAUAUGGAUGGACAGGGCCCUAGCAACCGGGGGCCUGGGGGGUUGCAGCUCCCCCCCCAAAUAAUUUGCUAAUAAUCAUUCUUUUUUUCAAAAUCAUGCAGACCUUUAUCAUUUAAUCCACGACAAACUGCAAGGAAUGAAGAUAUUACCCAUACUUUCCUGCAAUUUAUUCAAUAUAUAUACUUAAUUAAAAGCGCCUUCGCCCAUUUAGUACUACUAAAUUGUAAAUUUCGACAUACUAAAACGCUGUUUUCUGAAUUCAGAAUUCUGUCAAAUCUUCCCCCAAAGUCCAUUUCAGAGACUCUAAAUUUAAAAAUUUCUUCGGGCCUUUGGCCCUCGCUUUCAGCCCCCUCCCCCCCCCCCCCCCCCAAUUGACAAAUAGCUUCAUACGGCCCUGAUGGAGCAGAAAAUGUAGUUUUUUGCCUAUCAUUGUUCGCUUUUGGUUUUGUACUUUUUUUUUCUUAAACUGUGUAGGUUUAUCCUGGUUUUCAGCAUUAAAUAUACUUUCUUCCAUUCUGUUUAAAGAGUGCAAAUCUGGAUAUAUCUCCCGUGGAAAUCUUUGCUACAACAGGAUGGGCAGGCGUCCAUGGAUUGUCGCUAGAUGCCGACCAGGGGAU